GAUGAACGCUGGCGGCGUGCCUAAUACAUGCAAGUCGAGCGAACAGACGAGGAGCUUGCUCCUUUGACGUUAGCGGCGGACGGGUGAGUAACACGUGGGUAACCUACCUAUAAGACUGGGAUAACUUCGGGAAACCGGAGCUAAUACCGGAUAAUAUUUCGAACCGCAUGGUUCGAUAGUGAAAGAUGGCUCUGCUAUCACUUAUAGAUGGACCUGCGCCGUAUUAGCUAGUUGGUAAGGUAACGGCUUACCAAGGCAACGAUACGUAGCCGACCUGAGAGGGUGAUCGGCCACACUGGAACUGAGACACGGUCCAGACUCCUACGGGAGGCAGCAGUAGGGAAUCUUCCGCAAUGGGCGAAAGCCUGACGGAGCAACGCCGCGUGAGUGAUGAAGGUCUUCGGAUCGUAAAACUCUGUUGUUAGGGAAGAACAAACGUGUAAGUAACUGUGCACGUCUUGACGGUACCUAAUCAGAAAGCCACGGCUAACUACGUG
rnacentral:rRNA from 1 species